rnacentral:lncRNA from 1 species
AUGGAACACUCCAUCAUCAGAACCCUCACUAACCACAGAGAUACCAGUAAUCAUACUUCUAUCCAGAAUUUUGCAGCCUCCAGCUUCAGCACAAGUCAGGACCUUAUUCAAAGUGAUGAAAAUACGAAGAUGAAUAACAUCUUUUCUCCUAAAGAACUCCUGGGAGGCAGUGCUGAGGGCAGGCAGCAGGGGAAGGACAUGACAGCAUCUCUUCAAGGAAAGCCACUUGUACCUCUACCCUCCUCACACAGGAUUCAAAUCCCAUGUAGUUUGAGGAUCCUUUGCAGGACAAGAGAAAGAAAAGGCAAUCAGAGGAGUGGCAGCAAGCUGUCUUAGCAAUCAAGCCUUGCUCUGGCUAGUCCCAUCUCCCUCAUGCUUCCUAAACCCACAUCUCCUCGGUCCCUGGUCUUUGAGUUCUGCUCAUUUGAUACUUCAGCUGCUCUGUUAGAAUGUAUCACCUCACUCUGAUUAUGGAUGAACACAUAUUAUGGCAUCUCACCCUUAUCCUGGCAUCCAUAUUUACCUGGUUUUUAUGUUUUAGCUACUUUCCUGAUACUAAAUACCACAAUGGAAGAAAGAGGCUUUGGAGACCAUCAGAAUGGGGUUUUCCUCUUGGCAUUUAUAAUUUGUGUGGCUUUGAGAAAGAUCAAACCUCUCUAAGCCUCUUUUCAGAUACUAUUCCCUCUGAAGGUUCUUGUGAGAAUUAAAUAAGAUAAAAAUUGCAAAGCACCUAGCAUAUAGUACAACCACUGAGCAGUACCAUUUUAGUGACUAUCUGUAUACGCUGUUUGUAGCCAGACCUGGGCAAGCUCACCUCGUGUGAAGUGUGUCUACUUAUUUGUAGUGUGUCAAGAACUCUGAAAAGUUCUGAAGCUAUUAACAGUAAGGUAUUCAAGGUCUUUGUCCUAGAUGAGCUCUUAAAUUUUGAAGAAAUAGGUACACAAAUUAUUAUACUAAGCUAUCAGAUCUUAUAAGUUCUACUACAGUAGAAAUAAAGGCAUGGUGCUCUGUGAAUAC